CCUUGUUGAAUCUAUGCCAUGAAAAAUUAAGGCAGAUCUGAAUGCAAAAGGGGAUCCAACCCAAUACUAGCAAGGUGUACCUAAUAAAGUGGCCAGUGAGUGUAUAGAUAUAUUGCAUGAUGUAGAGUA